AUGGGAAACAGGUUAAUAUUCCUGUACUUGGUGUUACUGCGAAGGGGGGACGGAGAAGGCUAUGUUGGCCGGGCGACGGUUGUCCCGGUUUAAGCGUGUAGGCUGGUUUUCCAGGCAAAUCCGGAAAAUCAAGGCUGAGGCGUGAUGACGAGGCACUACGGUGCUGAAGCGACAAAUGCCCUGCUUCCAGGAAAAGCCUCUAAGCAUCAGGUAACACAAUCGUACCCCAAACCGACACAGGUGGUCAGGUAGAGAAUACCAAGGCGCUUGAGAGAACUCGGGUGAAGGAACUAGGCAAAAUGGUGCCGUAACUUCGGGAGAAGGCACGCUGAUAUGUAGGUGAAGCGACUUGCUCGUGGAGCUGAAAUCAGUCGAAGAUACCAGCUGGCUGCAACUGUUUAUUAAAAACACAGCACUGUGCAAACACGAAAGUGGACGUAUACGGUGUGACGCCUGCCCGGUGCCGGAAGGUUAAUUGAUGGGGUUAGCGGUAACGCGAAGCUCUUGAUCGAAGCCCCGGUAAACGGCGGCCGUAACUAUAACGGUCCUAAGGUAGCGAAAUUCCUUGUCGGGUAAGUUCCGACCUGCACGAAUGGCGUAAUGAUGGCCAGGCUGUCUCCACCCGAGACUCAGUGAAAUUGAACUCGCUGUGAAGAUGCAGUGUACCCGCGGCAAGACGGAAAGACCCCGUGAACCUUUACUAUAGCUUGACACUGAACAUUGAGCCUUGAUGUGUAGGAUAGGUGGGAGGCUUUGAAGUGUGGACGCCAGUCUGCAUGGAGCCGACCUUGAAAUACCACCCUUUAAUGUUUGAUGUUCUAACGUUGGCCCGUAAUCCGGGUUGCGGACAGUGUCUGGUGGGUAGUUUGACUGGGGCGGUCUCCUCCUAAAGAGUAACGGAGGAGCACGAAGGUUGGCUAAUCCUGGUCGGACAUCAGGAGGUUAGUGCAAUGGCAUAAGCCAGCUUGACUGCGAGCGUGACGGCGCGAGCAGGUGCGAAAGCAGGUCAUAGUGAUCCGGUGGUUCUGAAUGGAAGGGCCAUCGCUCAACGGAUAAAAGGUACUCCGGGGAUAACAGGCUGAUACCGCCCAAGAGUUCAUAUCGACGGCGGUGUUUGGCACCUCGAUGUCGGCUCAUCACAUCCUGGGGCUGAAGUAGGUCCCAAGGGUAUGGCUGUUCGCCAUUUAAAGUGGUACGCGAGCUGGGUUUAGAACGUCGUGAGACAGUUCGGUCCCUAUCUGCCGUGGGCGCUGGAGAACUGAGGGGGGCUGCUCCUAGUACGAGAGGACCGGAGUGGACGCAUCACUGGUGUUCGGGUUGUCAUGCCAAUGGCACUGCCCGGUAGCUAAAUGCGGAAGAGAUAAGUGCUGAAAGCAUCUAAGCACGAAACUUGCCCCGAGAUGAGUUCUCCCUGACUCCUUGAGAGUCCUGAAGGAACGUUGAAGACGACGACGUUGAUAGGCCGGGUGUGUAAGCGCAGCGAUGCGUUGAGCUAACCGGUACUAAUGAACCGUGAGGCUUAACCUU
rnacentral:rRNA from 1 species